rnacentral:sRNA from 1 species
AGGCAGCAGACCUGUAAUCCGGUUUCUGCGCGCUGCCCGCCACCCCCUGGCGGCCGAUUUGCUCCGUUUCGGUAGCC